GCCGGUAUAGCUCAGUGGUAGAGCGCGUCACUCGUAAGAUGCUUACUAAGCCAUGACAUGACGAGGUCUCGUGUUCAAUCCACGAUGCUGGUA